rnacentral:rRNA from 1 species
UACGACUACAUAUCAGGCAUAUCAAUAAGCGGAGGAAAAGAAACUAACAAGGAUUCCCUUAGUAACGGCGAGUGAAGCGGGAAGAGCUCAAAUUUGAAAUCUUCAAGGUUCUACCUUGACGAAUUGUAGUUUAAAGAAGUGUUUUCUGUUGGAGUUUCGGUAAAAGUUCUUUGGAAUAGGACAUCAUAGAGGGUGAGAAUCCCGUAUUUGACCAUUUAUUUCAGCUGUGUGAUACACUUUCAAAGAGUCGGAUUGUUUGGGAAUGCAGUCCAAAAUGGGUGGUAAAUUUCAUCUAAAGCUAAAUAUUGGCGAGAGACCGAUAGCGAACAAGUACCGUGAGGGAAAGAUGAAAAGAACUUUGAAAAGAGAGUUAAACAGUACGUGAAAUUGUCAAAAGGGAAGCGUUUGACACCAGUGUUGUUUUUCCGAAAAUCAAUUACGAAUGUUUUGUUUUUGAGGAGUUAUGACUUCAUCGGCUUGCUCCUUUCUUUACGAAACUUUCCUAAUGCACUUUUCGGUUAACAAGUCAACAUCAAUUUCUUUUGUUGUAAAAGGGUAAGAGGAAGGUGGCUUGCGCUUCGGCUCAAGUGUUUAUAGCCUUUUAUCUCUGCAAUCGGAGAGAUUGAGGUCUGCAGCGUAGAUCCUUCGGGGUUAGAUACAUUGGUGCUAAGCUAUAGCCUUGUAUAGACAACUUGUUGACUAUGCUCAGUCAUGUAGCUUACUCGCUGAUGCUAUUUUACCUACGCUUAGGAUGUUGAACGCGCACAGAGUCUC